CAGUAGCCGCGGGAAAACCAGCACCUCGAGUGGUCAGGAGGUUUAUUGGGCCUAAAGCAUCCGUAGCCGGUUGCAUAAGUUUUCGGUUGAAUCUAUGCGCUUAACGUAUAGGCCGCCGAAAAUACUGUGCAGCUAGGGAGUGGGAGAGGUACACGGUACUCGAUAGGAAGGGGUAAAAUCCUUUGAUCUAUUGAUGACCACCUGUGGCGAAGGCGGUGUACCAGAACACGUUCGACGGUGAGGGAUGAAAGCUGGGGGAGCAAACCGGAUUAGAUACCCCUGUAGUCCCUGUCUCUUAUAC
rnacentral:rRNA from 1 species